rnacentral:rRNA from 1 species
AUUGAACGCUGGCGGCAGGCCUAACACAUGCAAGUCGAACGAGGGGCGGACGGGUGAGUAAUGUCUGGGAAACUGCCCGAUGGAGGGGGAUAACUACUGGAAACGGUCGCUAAUACCGCAUACCCUCGGAAGUGCCCAGAUGGGAUUAGCUAGUAGGUGGGGUAACGGCUCACCUAGGCGACGAUCUCUAGAUGGUCUGAGAGGAUGACCAGCCCCACUGGGACGGAGACACGGUCCAGACUCCUACGGGAGGCAGCAGUGGGGAAUAUUGCACAAUGGGCGCAAGCCUGAUGCAGCCAUGCCGCGUGUAUGAAGAAGGCCCUCGGGUUGUAAAGUACUUUCAGCGGGGAGGCGUUACCCGCAGAAGAAGCACCGGCUAACUCCGUGCCAGCAGCCGCGGUAAUUC